ACACCAUGUUUCUAAGAAGUGAGAAAAACAGCAAUCAGAAAGCUCACACACUCCGUGUCUGCAUUUGUUCUUAGCUUCUACCUCCUCACUCUCUCCAUCUUCGCUUUAGCAGCAUUCCUGAUCUGUACUAUGUAUUUCUGGCAUGAGCAGUAGGAAUAGUAAUAAGAAGAAAAGAGAAUAAAACCAGGGAAUAUGUUGACUUCAAAGGAAGCAAUGAGACAUCGACCUGAAAAUUAUUGAAGAAUAGACCAACAUCAAUACAUGAGGACUUGCCUUUCCCACUGUCUAUUUAGCUGUUGUCUUUCCUCUUGGUCCCUUUUGAGAGGUUAAUUCACAAUUG
rnacentral:lncRNA from 1 species